UGUGUCUAAGAAAUGCAGACCAGGCAGCUGGCCUUGAUGUUCUUUCAAGUCGUCUUCACUCCUCAGUCUCAUCUACUCAUGUAGGCACCUUGGAGCUGCCUCACAAAGAGGACUUCUCUCCACUGACCUCCUGAGCUUGACACCAUUGCUACUAACAUCCUACCUUAGCUUCUUUUCCAAAAGACUCCGGCUGCUUGUGCCUCCACAUCUUAGCCUGUGCUGAUAACCAAGCCUGGACCAGUUUCCUUCACCAUUUCUGCUGGCUUGGCUCAACCAGCAGGACAGUUCUACUAUCCUUUCCUUCUGGAAUCCUGCCCUGACCUACCUUCCUGCUCACGCACCUGCUUCUGAUUUGGUCUCCCCUGGGCUGCCAGACCACUUGGCUUGGGGCAUUAGCCCUCUUGAUUCUUCAUCAAGGGAGAGAGAGCCUGCUCAGCCAAGCACCGACACUUCUGUUCUUCCUCCUGCGCUGGUACUUAAAAACCUACCCCUGCUCUCGGAAACCAAGACGCAACAGGACUUUCUUGUCUGCAGACCUCGCUUCUGCUUCGUUUUUGGAGGCCAAGAAGGAUGACUGAAGACAUGGCAUAGAUAUGGCAAGAGAAAUCAUGGCUGUCCUUUGUGAUAGCAGACAAAGUUUCAAUAAAGGGCCUUCUCUAAAGAGGACAUUGUGUGGGAUGUACACUUGGGAGAAGAAAGCUGCUUUAUACAAAGUCUGAACUCAGGAACAUCGAAGACAAGUGCUUUUUCCAGAGGCGAAGCCACUACUUGGGCGAGCUGCACUGAGGAUUCCGGGCCUGGCCUAGACCAUACCAGAAACCCCGCAGCUAGCCCGGAGGGGUCCGCACUGCGGGGAGAAAAGCAACAGCUCAGCUCCAAACCCGAAGGUUCACCACCAGCCAAUCGUUGCCCGGGGCUUCUCAAGGAAACCAGAAACGCCUACGGGCGGUGAAUGCUGCUCCGGCCAGCCUAUCCGCACGAAGGAGGCGGAAGGGGUGGGGUUGACAUUAGCCAAUAGGAUGAAAAUAGUUGUUGUUGGGAGGGAGGAAGACGCCAGCUAGCGUGCGUGAGGCCGCUCCCGGAUAGGGGCUGCAGGAAACUCGUGGAGCCAAUGGCCGCGGCGGGCGGGCGGCGGCGCGCGU